GGACUCUCGCGUAACGGCAACGAGUCUCUUUCUCAACUCUUGUAUCGAUAUCUGUGCUCUAUUCAUCUCUCUCUCUCUUUAAAGCAGCUCACUUUUACUUAAAAUUGCCAGUAGAUCUCACUCUUUUAGGGUUUAAGAGCAUUGGAACUCUCCGGCCAUGGAUUCACUUCUCUCAAGCAGCUCCUAUAGAUUCGUUGGAAAUGGUGGUCAUAUCAUACAAGAGAGAUUUUGCAGAGAGCUGAUCCAAGGAUAUUCUCCUGGUUAGUUUUGAUUAUGCCAGCAAGGUUGUGGGGGGAUUGGAAUGAAGCCAUUGGUCCGUGUAUACAAAAACAAUUGAUGUCUAUCUUCUCUUUCGUUCUGAAAAUUAUCUGGAUUCUUGUACUACAAUCAUUUCUGGUUCCAAUUCAAAGUCUUCUUUCACAUAUA